rnacentral:rRNA from 1 species
CCUACGGGUGGCAGCAGUGGGGGAUAUUGCACAAUGGGGGGAACCCUGAUGCAGCGACGCCGCGUGGGUGAAGAAGCGCCUCGGCGCGUAAAGCCCUGUUAGCAGGGAAGAAAAUGACGGUACCUGAAGAAGAAGCCCCGGCUAACUACGUGCCAGCAGCCGCGGGAAUACGUAGGGGGCAAGCGUUAUCCGGAUUUACUGGGUGUAACGGGGGCGCAGACGGCGAUGCAAGCCAGGGGUGAAAGCCCGGGGCCCAACCCCGGGACUGCUCUUGGAACUGCGUGGCUGGAGUGCAGGAGGGGCAGGCGGAAUUCCUGGUGUAGCGGUGAAAUGCGUAGAUAUCAGGAGGAACACCGGUGGCGAAGGCGGCCUGCUGGACUGCAACUGACGUUGAGGCCCGAAAGCGUGGGGAGCAAACAGGAUUAGAUACCCUAGUAGUC